rnacentral:rRNA from 1 species
GACGAACUUUGGCGGCGUGCUUAACACAUGCAAGUCGAACGGAAAGGCCCUGCUUUUGUGGGGUGCUCGAGUGGCGAACGGGUGAGUAACACGUGAGUAACCUGCCCUUGACUUUGGGAUAACUUCAGGAAACUGGGGCUAAUACCGGAUAGGAGCUCCUGCUGCAUGGUGGGGGUUGGAAAGUUUCGGCGGUUGGGGAUGGACUCGCGGCUUAUCAGCUUGUUGGUGGGGUAGUGGCUUACCAAGGCUUUGACGGGUAGCCGGCCUGAGAGGGUGACCGGCCACAUUGGGACUGAGAUACGGCCCAGACUCCUACGGGAGGCAGCAGUGGGGAAUAUUGCACAAUGGGCGGAAGCCUGAUGCAGCAACGCCGCGUGCGGGAUGACGGCCUUCGGGUUGUAAACCGCUUUCGCCUGUGACGAAGCGUGAGUGACGGUAAUGGGUAAAGAAGCACCGGCUAACUACGUGCCAGCAGCCGCGGUGAUACGUAGGGUGCGAGCGUUGUCCGGAUUUAUUGGGCGUAAAGGGCUCGUAGGUGGUUGAUCGCGUCGGAAGUGUAAUCUUGGGGCUUAACCCUGAGCGUGCUUUCGAUACGGGUUGACUUGAGGAAGGUAGGGGAGAAUGGAAUUCCUGGUGGAGCGGUGGAAUGCGCAGAUAUCAGGAGGAACACCAGUGGCGAAGGCGGUUCUCUGGGCCUUUCCUGACGCUGAGGAGCGAAAGCGUGGGGAGCGAACAGGCUUAGAUACCCUGGUAGUCCACGCUGUAAACGGUGGGUACUAGGUGUGGGGUCCAUUCCACGGGUUCCGUGCCGUAGCUAACGCUUUAAGUACCCCGCCUGGGGAGUACGGCCGCAAGGCUAAAACUCAAAGGAAUUGACGGGGCCCCGCACAAGCGGCGGAGCAUGCGGAUUAAUUCGAUGCAACGCGUAGAACCUUACCUGGGUUUGACGUGGAUCGGGAGUGCUCAGAGAUGGGUGUGCCUCUUUUGGGGUCGGUUCACAGGUGGUGCAUGGCUGUCGUCAGCUCGUGUCGUGAGAUGUUGGGUUAAGUCCCGCAACGAGCGCAACCCUUGUUCACUGUUGCCAGCACGUUAUGGUGGGGACUCAGUGGAGACCGCCGGGGUCAACUCGGAGGAAGGUGGGGAUGACGUCAAGUCAUCAUGCCCCUUAUGUCCAGGGCUUCACGCAUGCUACAAUGGCUGGUACAGAGAGUGGCGAGCCUGUGAGGGUGAGCGAAUCUCGGAAAGCCGGUCUCAGUUCGGAUUGGGGUCUGCAACUCGACCUCAUGAAGUCGGAGUCGCUAGUAAUCGCAGAUCAGCAACGCUGCGGUGAAUACGUUCCCGGGGCU